rnacentral:tRNA from 3 species
GCGGAUGUGGCGAAAUUGGUAGACGCACUAGACUUAGGAUCUAGCGCCGCGAGGCAUGGGGGUUCGAGUCCCUCUAUCCGCACAA